GGGCCUGUAGCUCAGCAAGGAAGAGCGUCGGCCUUUUAAGACCCGAGGGUCGAAGAAAGCCGUUGGUCAGGGGUUCAAAUCCCCUCAGGCCCG
rnacentral:tRNA from 1 species